rnacentral:rRNA from 1 species
GACGAACGCUGGCGGCGUGCUUAACACAUGCAAGUCGAACGGAAAGGCCCUGCUUUUGUGGGGUGCUCGAGUGGCGAACGGGUGAGUAACACGUGAGUAACCUGCCCUUGACUUUGGGAUAACUUCAGGAAACUGGGGCUAAUACCGGAUAGGAGCUCCUGCUGCAUGGUGGGGGUUGGAAAGUUUCGGCGGUUGUGGAUGGACUCGCGGCUUAUCAGCUUGUUGGUGGGGUAGUGGCUUACCAAGGCUUUGACGGGUAGCCGGCCUGAGAGGGUGACCGGCCACAUGGGGCCUGCGAUACGGCGCAGACUCCUACGGGAGGCAGCAGUGGGGAAUAUUGCACAAUGGGCGGAAGCCUGAUGCAGCAACGCCGGGUGCGGGAUGACGGCCUUCGGGUUGUAAACCGCUUUCGCCUGUGACGAAGCGUGAGUGACGGUAAUGGGUAAAGAAGCACCGGCUAACUACGUG